rnacentral:rRNA from 1 species
AUUGAACGCUGGCGGCAGGCCUAACACAUGCAAGUCGAGCGAGAGGCGGACGGGUGAGUGAUGUAUGGGGACUGCCCGAUAGAGGGGGGUAACUACUGGAGACGGUGGCUAAUACCGCAUACCGUAGGAUAGCCCAUAUGGGAUUAGCUAGUAGGUAAGGGAAUGGCUUACCUAGGCGGCGAUACCUAGCUGGUCUGAGAGGCUGAGCAGCCACACUGGGACUGAGACACGGCCCAGACUCCUACGGAGGCAGCAGUGGGGAAUAUUGCACAAUGGGCGCAAGCCUGAUGCAGCCAUGCCGCGUGUAUGAAGAAGGCCCUAGGGUUGUAAAGUACUUUCAGUCGGGAGGCGUUACCCACAGAAGAAGCACCGGCUAACUCCGUGCCAGCAGCCGCGGUAAUAC